rnacentral:rRNA from 1 species
GACGAACGCUGGCGGCGUGCUUAACACAUGCAAGUCGAACGAAGAGCGACGGAAGCUUGCUUCUAUCAAUCUUAGUGGCGAACGGGUGAGUAACGCGUAAUCAACCUGCCCUUCAGAGGGGGACAACAGUUGGAAACGACUGCUAAUACCGCAUACGAUCUAAUCUCGGCAUCGAGGAUAGAUGAAAGGUGGCCUCUACAUGUAAGCUAUCACUGAAGGAGGGGAUUGCGUCUGAUUAGCUAGUUGGAGGGGUAACGGCCCACCAAGGCGAUGAUCAGUAGCCGGUCUGAGAGGAUGAACGGCCACAUUGGGACUGAGACACGGCCCAGACUCCUACGGGAGGCAGCAGUGGGGAAUCUUCCGCAAUGGACGAAAGUCUGACGGAGCAACGCCGCGUGAGUGAUGACGGCCUUCGGGUUGUAAAGCUCUGUUAAUCGGGACGAAAGGCCUUCUUGCGA